rnacentral:lncRNA from 1 species
AUGCAUACGUUAGGGAGCUUGCCUCACCGAGCUCUUCAAGCUCUAGCCAAAAAGUAUGGCCCCAUAAUGCACAUGCGGUUAGGCUUUGUGCCUGCCAUUGUUGUUUCUUCCCCUCAGGCUGCCGAGCAGUUCCUGAAGACACAUGACCUUGUUUUCGCUAAUAGGCCACCCCAUGAGUGUUCAAGGCACAUUUUAUAUGAUGGAAAGGGCAUAUCGUUUUCGGAGUAUGGCCCUUAUUGGCGCAGCAUGCACCUUGGAGUUGCUCAGCAGCCAUAAGAUUAACUCCUUCAAGCCUAUGAGAAGGGAAGAGGUUGGCCUGUUUAUCAAGUCUUUUGAGGAAGCCGCGCGAGCUGGUGCUGCAGUUGAUGUCAGUGCCAAGGUUGCGUUGCUGAGUGCAGACAUGAGUUGUAGGAUGGUAUUUGGGAAGAAGUACAUGGACAAGGAUCUUGAUGAAAGGGGAUUCAAGGCUAUGUUUCAAGAGGUAAUGCAGCUGGCUGCUACUCCUAAUAUUGGUGAUUACAUUCCUUGCCUUCUGGGGCUUGACCUUCAGGGUCUGACACGGCGGACAAAGGCAACGGGUAAGGUGUUUGAUGACUUCUUUGAGAAGAUCAUUGAUGAACAUAUUCACAAUCCUAAGGAGGAAGGACAGACAAAGGACUUGGUCGAUGUGAUGCUGGUCUUAAUGGGAUCUGAAGGAACUGGAUACAAUAUCGAACGGGCUAGCAUCAAAGCCAUAUCUUUCGUAAGCAUGUUUACAUUAAAUUACGAUUGUUUUAAACAUGAAGCUGCAGAAAACUUAAUUCCCAUGUAAUAACAGGAUAUGCUGGCAGGCUCCAUGGAGACUUCAUCAUCCUCCAUCGAUUGGGCAGUUGCAGAGCUCAUCAGGCAUCCCCGAGUAAUGAAGAAAGUCCAAAGUGAGUUGGAAAAAGUGGUGGGCAUGGAGAGGAUGGUGGAGGAAUCAGACUUGGAGAGCUUGGAGUACUUGAACAUGGUUGUGAAGGAGACCUUGAGGCUCUACCCAGCGGGGCCAUUGUUGGUCCCUCAUGAGUCCAUGGAAGACUGCACAGUCAACGGCUUCUACAUACCCCAAAAGUCCCGCAUCAUAGUGAAUGCAUGGGCGAUAGGGCGGGACCCUGAUUCAUGGACUAAUGCAGACGAGUUCCUCCCUGAGAGAUUUAUCGAAGGCGAUAUAGAUUUUCGGGGAAAGCACUUCCAGUAUAUCUCAUUUGGGUCCGGUAGAAGAGGGUGCCCUGGGAUGGAAUUAGGCAUCACUGUGGUUCGAUUCGUGGUGGCACAACUUGUGCAUUGCUUUGAUUGGGAACUUCCAGAUGGGAUGUUGCCUAGUGAGUUGAACAUGACUGAGGAGUUUGGCCUCGCAAUACCAAGAGCCAAGCAUCUAGUGGCUAUUCCUACUUAUCGCCUUCGCCAAUAAUAAAUUCUCUGUAUCAUUAUCAACUGAGUUCAUCCCAUGUUGGAUGCCAAAUAUUAAUAACAGCCCUUUACAUUUUAUGUAAAGCUACAGUAUAUAUCACGUUCAGUUUCAGAAGAACAUGACAUUUGGGCUGUGAUAAUAAUCGUUUAAUCGUAUGAAAACCUGAAACUUGAUCAAGAUCGAUCAUAUUCAUAAGAACAUAGAUUAAUGUAGGGCUGGAAUGGACCUAACUCUACAUAUACUGCAGCAGGACAUCAACUUCAGAUAAAUUGUAGUCAGAUAGCUCUAAUACGUGGUAAAUAACUUUCCGUAUUCAUUAUAUUAAUGCACUAUCGUUUGAGAGUACUCAACAAUGUAUAAAAUGAAUUUUAAUCUGAGUUACACGCUGUCAUUUCUUUAUUUAUUUGUAGUAACACCAACCUGAAUUGAGAAUAUCAAAAUGAUAAAGAUUGUGAUAUCUCAGGUCGUAUAGAAGGAAAAAGUUUAUAAAGUUAUAUAUAUGCAUCAACUUUUAUAUAUUAAUCAUAUAAAUAUGUUUUAAAGUUGUGAAAACCUUUUGAAUCCAAAGAAGAUAAUAUCUAUUGCAAAAGAUAGUUGUUUAUUUGAAUGAUAUCAAAAUCCAACAGUGAUAUCUCUAAUUUGGCCUCACAAUCUUAUAAUUAAGAUGAAACAAGGAUAAUUGUGAUGAUGUUAUAUUUAUAUAAGAAGUGAUUGUGAUAUCCCACAUUGAAUUAUGUAAAUCAAUAUUAUAUCUAUAUAAGAGGUGACUUUUAUAUUCCACAUUAGAUUUCUAUUAACUAUGUAGACUAAUGUUUUCAGAAUCGGAUCGGAUAUUAAACAAAAAAAGUUAUCAGUUCACAGUUCAUUGGUCGGACCGAUAGUCGAACCGUUGUUGAAUCGAUGACUUCAUAAAUAUAUAUUUUAUAUUUUAUUAGAAUUAAAAUAUUUAAAAUAUAUAAUUAAAAAUUAAAUAAUAUUUAUAAUAUUAUUUAUUCAUUUUUAUACAAAUAUAUUAAUGGUUUAAAUUUAUUAAACAAAAUAUAUACAAUAUUUAAAUAUGAAAAUAUAUUCAAAAUGGAAAGAAAAAAAGUCAUAUUUAAAUAUGAAAACAAAUUGAAAAUAAAAAUAAAUAUAUGAUUUAUAUAUAUAUAUUAUUUUUUGAAAUAGCUUAUGUAGUUGUUUUAUGUUAAAUAUUAACACAAACAAGGAUGGAGCAUAGUGGAGUAGUUAUAUUCAUAGAGCUUGGGGUCUGUGAUUCAAAUAUAAGUUCAUUUUUGCUUUUAACCCUUUACCUUAUCCCAUAUCGGAAGUAAGAGGAAAAAUAAAGUGUUUUAUAAACUUCUUCCCCACUUAAAAAAAAAAGAUCGGUCCAAUUAAUAGCCAGUCAAAAGUCAUACGAUGUAGCAUACUUACCACAUUUUGUAAUACUUACCUCUUCCCAACUAACCUAAGCUAGGCGGUCAAGCCAAGUGGUUGUUGGGCCUUAUUGCACAGCCUUCGGUUAAGGCCCAUUUUGUAAGAUAUAAGAUGGGUGUGGGCAUUUAAUAUUGGGCUGUGGAGAGAAUAUAACCCAUUUUGUCAAAAAAAAAAAAAAAAAAAGGUAGGCAAUUAAUGUUGGACCGUGAGGGAGUGGCCCACUUAGUAAAAAAAAACCGGUCCAAUUGAUAGUCAGUCAAAGGUCACCGGGUAGCAUACUUACCAGUUACCACAUUUUGUAAUGGGGUGGAUUAAUAGUCCCAAUCAUCUAUACUAGGAAAAAUAGUAAAAAAUAAAAAUAAAUGGAAUUUGGAUUCUCCUGCUAGUAUUUAGCUUAAUCUACGGAUAAAAGAUUUUGAUGAUUAUUUGUGUAGGAAGUCAAGACAAAUCUCUCAGCUAAGCUCUAAAUAUAUAGAACUUAAAAUUAAAUAUUGCUUAAUACUUUCAAGUGUUAAGUUGUUUGCCUUAUUAAUAUUUUAUUUUUUAAUUAAAUAUUAAAAAGUGAAAUAAAAAUCAAUAUAUUAUUUUUAAUAUUAAAAAAUUAAAUAUUUUGAUUUUUUCUAUUUAAUAAAAAAUUUAAGAAAUAAUUAAUAAAUUCAUAAAAAGUAAAAAAAACAAACAAUUUAAAAUCUAGAUGAAAGUUGCUUUCAACAAAAAAAUUAAAAAGACAAACAUCAUCUAAGAACUAUAAUAUUAAAAAAUGCUAAUGAAUUUUAAGGUAUCAAUUAAACUAAAUAUUCGAAUUAUUGAAUAAAUAUAAUGAGAUUUAAAUUAUUGAAUAAAGGUAUAAACUAAUAAAAUAAAAUAUCUAUACAAUGACAACUAAUUGACGGUGACUUUUUAAUAAUUAUAUAUAUAUAUAUAUAUAUAUAUAUAUAUAUAUAUAUAUAUAUAUAUAUAUGGAUGAUUAUUGUGAAUUCAGGAUGACAAAAUCGUCACUAAUCAAAUGUGUGCCUUAAAUGAAUUGUUAUGACAACUAAUUGACGGUGACUUUUUGAUAAAUUAUAUAUAUAUAUAUAUAUAUAUGUGGAUGAUUAUUGUGAAUUCAAGAUGACAAAAACGCCACUAACCAAAUGUGGGUGUGCCUUAAAUGAAUUGUUAGAUAUGUACUUCCAAAGAAAAUUACAAGGGGACUGGAGCCAGCCAUUGAUGAAUUGUCAGAUAUAUACUACCAGAGAAAAUUAGAAGGGGAAUGGAGCCAGCCAUUGAUGACUUCUAGGCUGAGAAUGAUAGUGAAAUCUUUUACAUCACUGAGAUAGUUUAUGCGGACCGGAGCCAGCCAUUGAUGACUUCUAGGCUGAGAAUGAUAGUGAAAUCUUUUACAUCACUGAGAUAGUUUAUGCGGACCGGACCCAGCCAUUGAUGACUUCUAGGCUGAGAAUGAUUGUGAAAUCUUUUACAUCACUGAGAUAGUUUAUGCGGACCGGAGCCAGCCAUGGAUGACUUCUAGGCUGAGAAUGAUUGUGAAAUCUUUUACAUCACUAAGAUAGUUUAUGCAGACCGGAGCCAGCCAUUGAUGACUUCUAGGCUGAGGAAUGAUUGUGAAAUCUUUUACAUCACUGAGAUGGUUUAUGUAGCUCAGCCAUUAGCUUGCUCAAUCUUGAUACGUGCUUGGUUACCGAGAAAUACCAAGAAAUGAAGCUGCAGGCCGAGCUUGAGACUUCUGUUUCAUGAUUCAAUCCUUAAUUAGCAGCCACUGAGGCUUUAUUUGUUCUAUCAUAAAUGUUUUUAUGAAUAUUAAUAGAUUGAAAUUUAAAUAUAAAUAAAAUGCUUUAACCAGUAGUUUUUGCCAUGUGUGAAUAAAAAAUAAUUUUUAAAAGAAAUUUUAGUAAGCGUUAAUUAAUCAAAUUUUUAUGUUAAAAUCUUAAAUACAGUGAUAGGCAAGGAUGAGCAAAAAAGGUUCACCUUUGAAUUAAUCAUCUUAUUAAUGAAAUUAAUUACUCUUAUUGAAUUUAAAAGCACUUAAAAUCUAUUUACAAGUGAUUUUAAGAAGACUCAAAGCGUAAUUGAUUUUGAGAAGACUUAGGUGGUGUUUGUUUUUUGGCUGAAUAGAAAAAGCCAAAAUAUUUGACUUUUUCUAUUCAACUAAAAGUAACUUGUUGACAUCAUCCAACAUAGCUAAAAUGAAUUUGUUACCAAUAGGUUCANNNNNNNNNNNNNNNNNNNNNNNNNNNNNNNNNNNNNNNNNNNNNNNNNNNNNNNNNNNNNNNNNNNNNNNNNNNNNNNNNNNNNNNNNNNNNNNNNNNNAACCAAAAAACAAACACCACCUUAGAGCGUUUCCUAAUAAUUAAAAGUACUUUUAAUUACUUAUAAAAAUUAUACGCUUAACAAACUUUUAAAAAUUAGGUAAUCAGUUAAAAUGAUUAUUUGAGAAUUACUUGAUAAGUAAUUACUUCUUUUAAAAAUCACUUCAUAAAAAAAAUUAAUUAAAAAAAAUGGAAUCUGAUCAUCAGUUCUCUAGUACCUUACUGCUAAUUAAAUGCUGAAAAUAAAGGUACAUAAAACAGAAGGGUCACAAUCUGCUUUGAUCUUCAUCUCAAUGUAUUUCUCAGUAACACAACAAUGCCCACAGAAGGUAAUGUUAGAAGAAACAACCCCUCACUGUAGUUCAAGGAGGUUAGUUCUGAGUUUACAAUUUUUGCUACUUUCGAUCUAUAUCAGGAAUUGUUAAAUAUGCCUGUAACCUGAAUGUCAUGGUCAGUCUCAGAAGAACAUGACGUUUGAGAUCAAAACGAUUUCUCCUGCUAGUACUUAGCUUAAUCUACGGAUAAAAGAUUUUGAUGAUUAUUUGUGUAGGAAGUCAAGACAAAUCUCUCAGCUAAGCUCUAUAUAUAUACAACUUACUGCUUAAUAUUUUCAAGUGUUAAGUUGUUUGCCUUUUUUAUAUUUUAUUUUUUAAUUAAAUAUUAAAAAGUGAAAGAAAAAUCAAUAUAUUAUUUUUAAUAUUAAAAAAAUUAAAUAUUUUGAUUUUUUUUCUAUUCAAUAAAAAAUUUAAGAAAUAAAUAAUAAAUUCAUUAAAAGUAAAAAAACAAACAAUUUGAAAUCAAGAGAAAAGUUGCUUUCAACAAAAAAAAUUAAAAAGACAAACAUCACUUAAGAACUAUAAUAUUAAAAAAUGUUAAUAAAUUUUAAGGUAUCAAUUAAACUAAAUAUUUGAUUUAUUAAAUUAAUGUAAUGAGAUUUAAACUAUUGAAUAAAGGUAUAAAUGAAGAAAAAUCAAAACUAUCAAGGGCACAAAUAAAUAGGAUUAUGGUAUACAAUGACAACUAAUUGACGGUGACUUUUUAAUAAUUAUAAUUAUAUAUAUAUAUAUAUAUAUAUGUAUAUGGAUGAUCAUUGUGAAUUCAGGAUGACUUGGGUGUGUCUUAAAUGAAUUGUUAGAUAUAUACUUCCAGAGAAAAUUAGAAGGGGAUUGGAACCAGUCAUUGAUGACUUUUAGGCUGAGGAAUGAUAGUGAAAUCUUCUACAUCACCUCAUCCUCUUCACAACUCUAAGCCCAUAGAGAGCUUGUCUUCUACAUUUAGCUACACCAGCUGGUAGCUCUACCAUAUCUGAGAGAGCAUCAAAACCCUACUCCUGAAUACGAAAGUGAUCAAAACCACCCACCAUGGCUUGGAUAUGGACUGCACUUGCCCUGAUUGCCAUUGUUUUUCUCUUCAACAUGAUGAAAAACAAGCAUAAGAGGCUGCCUCCUGGCCCUAGAGGGAUCCCAAUUUUGGGCAAUAUGCAUAUGUUAGGGAGCUUGCCUCACCGAGCUCUACAAGCUCUAUCCAAAAAGUAUGGCCCCAUCAUGUACAUGCGGUUAGGCUUUGUGCCCGCCAUUGUUGUUUCUUCCCCUCAGGCUGCCGAGCAGUUCCUGAAGACACAUGACCUUGUUUUCGCUAAUAGGCCACCCCAUGAGUGUUCAAGGCACAUGCUAUAUGAUGGAAAGGGCAUAUCGUUUUCUGGGUAUGGCCCUUAUUGGCGCAGCAUGCGCAAGCUGUGCACCUUGGAGUUGCUCACCAGCCGUAAGAUUAACUCCUUCAAGCCUAUGAGAAGGGAAGAGGUUGGCCUGUUGAUCAAGUCUUUUGAGGAAGC